rnacentral:lncRNA from 1 species
UACGGGGACACUCCACCGGCCAUCCUAGACGCUACACCAAGCACCCCUGGUACUCGUUGGCUAACGGAUGGAUUCAUCAAGAGGAUCAGUCUUCAUGACGGAGUCCGGAAAGGACACCUCAAACACCUGACACGGGGUUUGCACUCUAUCUGGGACUAACCAGUGGAUGUCGGUGACACGCAGACACAGAUGUUUCCUUGGGACUAACGGCACAUUACCGCUUGGAAAGCGGAGAAGACUAAAUUUCCACUGGGAAUGGACCGAUAUGACUUAUAGGUAUCGCCUAGUUGGUUUCUACCCCUGAGAACCGCAAAACGGCCCCUGUCCAAGCUGGACAUCAAACUGAUGGAUUUAGCAUCCAAGUGCUGGGUCUGCUCUCCGGAGUUACCCUCGUGUACAAAUUGAGCCGACAUGUCUCUAUUCAUAGGGUUCCCCCUUAACUAGCCCCAGAGGUCUCUCUGGCCGUGCCCGGACUCCAGAUCAAGGUUGCGGAACCUUGGACCGUUCCAUGAGCGAUACGCAUGACCAAAAGAGGCAUCCAUUCCGACUCAUUCCGCAGUUGCCCUGCUGGGCAAAGGGUGCGGCGGAGUGGACUCCCGCCCCAUCCCCACGCUACAUGCUCCCAGUGCAUGUCGUCUGUUGACACAUUUUGAGACGGAGGGCACUCAUCCCCUCUGAGAGCUGCUCGGCGUUGACGAUUGGUUCUCUCCCUCAAAUGCACAUGAGAGAAACCCGCAUGGAUUUUGCCAUCAACAUGGACAUAUUGAAUCUGACUCACUCCAAGUCUACCCAGUUUCCGGUCUUUCAUGGAAUAUUCGGUCCAGGCGGUGCCCCGCCUCCCGAGGACCAAGAUGUCCGUCUUCAAGGAAAAUACCAGGUAUAUGCUUCGCAACCUGCGGGUUACACUUAGGGGCCCAACCCGGUUAAUUGACCGGUGCCUAUUCGCCAUGGAAGCCAUACCUCAAGGAUCCGGUACUAUCAGCCGCUCCAACAUGGCGCUUUCUCGGGUCUUUGGCCUGGUAUGACCAAAUCAUGUGACCUUCGGAUGAAGCUCAUCUAAGAAUUAAUUGAUGACUCCGGAGGAGGGACUCCUUUACGCCAACUGCAUGGAACUACCUGCAGGUUUGUUCAACAUUCACAGUAUUGCUCGCUACCUUCCGGCAUGGACUUCUCACCGGUUGUCCACUACGGACUGCAGUCGGAUCUCACAUAGGAUCGCUAUCUAUAGCUUCUGGACAAGUAUUCGUCAUUUGUGACAGAAUGUAUGCGGGACGAGACACUUGUGUGGCGGACGGCUUCACCCGGCAUGGAGAGACCCCAAUGAUUGGUUGCCUCACCCUCCAGGGUCUCGAGUACUGGCAUGAUUACAUUCGGUGCGAACCGCCAUAUGGAGCGGUUCUCCAACUGGCUGCCGGACCCUCAGAGAGGCGAGGGACGAGCUUUCCAAGCUUGGUCUCCUUCGGGGCGUACGCAUCCCGUUUACCUACAGGAUACUUUGGGUUUUGCUUCAGACCGAAUUCCUGGAAGUGUCGUUUCGCCUGGCCAAACCACUUCGGAGGAGUCCUGCGUGCUUUCCCCUUUUUGCUGGAGUUUGCCAUGGGAAGGCAAUCUACGACUCCCUGUCUCUUAAUGUCCCACUUGGGAUCCACAGGGGUAGCCUGCCACGACUUGUGUUUGGGUCCCAAUGGCGGUCCUUAUCAUGGCUGUCCCCAUUGUCUGGCUGAGUUGCCCUCUCAGGGUAGGAUCGUAUGGGGCCAUUCACGUCCUAUGUCAGCUAGUGGACGAC